rnacentral:tRNA from 1 species
GUUGUGGUGGCCGAGUGGUUAAGUCGAUAGACUAGAAAUCCUUUGUGAUCUUCCGAUGCAGGUUCGACUCCUGCAGACAACG